rnacentral:lncRNA from 1 species
GAGUAAUUUUGUGGCAGUCGGUUCGCUCUCCCGAUGACUGAGCAGGAGGACGGAUCAUUGCCGACUGUAAAAUUCUGCACAGGCCCUCAGAGUCAGGAAAAUGGGUGUCAUGGAAGGUGGCGGAGAAGGUGGAUUUUCUCGAAAGGCUGAUUGAGGUCUUCCCGCCUGGCCGUGUCAGAGAUGCUCCUGGGGCCCGGGCGCACGAGGCUGAGAGCCCAGAGGUCUGGGCUGCUGACCAAAGCCCCCAACCGGUCAGGGAAGAGACGGCUGUCUCCAGCCCUCCGGCGAAGGCCUGUGGGGCCAGGGAGCCCAGAUCUGCCCCUGAGGAAUUUCACCAGGAGUGGCGGCAGCGCACGAGUUUCAGGAGAGCCUGCUCACGCCCUGCCCGGCAUCUGCUACAGAUUACGGAUCAACACGGCCGCCACCUUCCUGUCGGGGACAGCCUGCAGAGUCCUUAACUCGUCAAAGAUUGGCUUUCCGACGAAGCAGACCUCGAGACAAAGAUUUGGAUGGCCUCUGAUCCCACGGAAUGCAACGUUGUGGGGCCGGGAGCCCGAGUCCCUGAGCAGACCCUGGGGCCGAGGCGAGAAGGACCGUCUGACCUCCAUGCCCUCGUUCCUGGGCCCGUGUCUCCACUUCCUGGAUUAG